rnacentral:rRNA from 1 species
AUUGAACGCUGGCGGCAGGCCUAACACAUGCAAGUCGAGCGGAUGAAGGGAGCUUGCUCCUGGAUUCAGCGGCGGACGGGUGAGUAAUGCCUAGGAAUCUGCCUGGUAGUGGGGGAUAACGUCCGGAAACGGGCGCUAAUACCGCAUACGUCCUGAGGGAGAAAGUGGGAAAUCUUCGGACCUCACGCUAUCAGAUGAGCCUAGGUCGGAUUAGCUAGUUGGUGGGGUAAAGGCCUACCAAGGCGACGAUCCGUAACUGGUCUGAGAGGAUGAUCAGUCACACUGGAACUGAGACACGGUCCAGACUCCUACGGGAGGCAGCAGUGGGGAAUAUUGGACAAUGGGCGAAAGCCUGAUCCAGCCAUGCCGCGUGUGUGAAGAAGGUCUUCGGAUUGUAAAGCACUUUAAGUUGGGAGGAAGGGCAGUAAGUUAAUACCUUGCUGUUUUGACGUUACCAACAGAAUAAGCACCGGCUAACUUCGUG